rnacentral:rRNA from 1 species
UACGUAGGGGGCAAGCGUUGUCCGGAAUCAUUGGGCGUAAAGCGCGUGUAGGCGGCUAGAUAAGUCUGCUCUGAAAGCCCGGGGCUCAGCCCCGGGAGGCGGGUGGAUACUGUCUAGCUCGAGUCCGGAAGAGGAGUGUGGAAUUCCUGGUGUAGCGGUGAAAUGCGCAGAUAUCAGGAGGAACACCAAUGGCGAAGGCAGCACUCUGGGACGUGACUGACGCUGAGACGCGAAAGCGUGGGGAGCAAACAGG